rnacentral:rRNA from 1 species
CGCGGCCUAUCAGCUUGUUGGCGGGGUAACGGCCCACCAAGGCAACGACGGGUAGCUGGUUUGAGAGAACGAUCAGCCACACUGGAACUGAGACACGGUCCAGACUUCUACGGAAGGCAGCAGUAGGGAAUCUUGCGCAAUGGGCGAAAGCCUGACGCAGCGACGCCGCGUGCGGGAUGACGGCCCUAGUGGUUGUAAACCGCUUUCAGCAGGGACGAAAAUGACGGUACCUGCAGAAGAAGUCCCGGCUAACUACGUGCCAGCAGCCGCGGUAAUACGUAGGGGACAAGCGUUGUCCGGAUUCAUUGGGCGUAAAGAGCUCGUAGGCGGUUCAGUAAGUUGGGUGUGAAAGCUCCGGGCUCAACCCGGAGAGGCCACUCAAUACUGCUGUGACUAGAGUCCAGUAGAGGAGCGUGGAACUCCUGGUGUAGCGGUGAAAUGCGCAGAUAUCAGGAAGAACACCGGCAGCGAAGGCGGCGCUCUGGGCUGGUACUGACGCUGAGGAGCGAAAGCAUGGGUAGCAAACAGGAUUAGAUACCCUGGUAGUCCAUGCCGUAAGCGUUGGGCACUAGGUGUGGGGAGGAAUCAACCCUCUCCGUGCCGUAGCUAACGCAUUAAGUGCCCCGCCUGGGGAGUACGG